GACGAACGCUGGCGGCGUGCUUAACACAUGCAAGUCGAACGGAAAGGCCCUGCUAGCAGGGUACUCGCGUGGCGAACGGGUGAGUAACACGUGGGUGUUCUGCCCUGCACUUCGGGAUAAGCCUGGGAAACUGGGUCGAAUACCGGAUAGGAGCCAUUUUUAGUGUGAUGGUGGGAGAGUUUUUUGCGGUGUGGGAUUGGCUCGCGGCCUAUCAGCUUGUUGGGGGGGUAAUGGCCUACCACGGCGGCGACGGGUAGCCGGCCUGGGGUGGUGGGCGGCCACAGUGAGACCUAGAGGAGGCCCAGGUGCCGACGGGGGCACGAAGGGGGGAAGAUUGAUCCAUGGGCGCCAGCCGGAUGCAGAGACGCCGCGGGGGGGAUGGUGGCCUUAGGGUUGGAAAAGGCAUUCGAUUGGGAAGAAGCUUUUUGUGACGGUACCUAGAUAAGAAGCACCGGCUAACUACGUG
rnacentral:rRNA from 1 species